AGAGUUUGAUCAUGGCUCAGAUUGAACGCUGGCGGCAGGCCUAACACAUGCAAGUCGAACGGUAACAGGAAGAAGCUUGCUUCUUUGCUGACGAGUGGCGGACGGGUGAGUAAUGUCUGGGAAACUGCCUGAUGGAGGGGGAUAACUACUGGAAACGGUAGCUAAUACCGCAUAACGUCGCAAGACCAAAGAGGGGGACCUUCGGGCCUCUUGCCAUCGGAUGUGCCCAGAUGGGAUUAGCUAGUAGGUGGGGUAACGGCUCACCUAGGCGACGAUCCCUAGCUGGUCUGAGAGGAUGACCAGCCACACUGGAACUGAGACACGGUCCAGACUCCUACGGGAGGCAGCAGUGGGGAAUAUUGCACAAUGGGCGCAAGCCUGAUGCAGCCAUGCCGCGUGUAUGAAGAAGGCCUUCGGGUUGUAAAGUACUUUCAGCGGGGAGGAAGGGAGUAAAGUUAAUACCUUUGCUCAUUGACGUUACCCGCAGAAGAAGCACCGGCUAACUCCGUGCCAGCAGCCGCGGUAAUACGGAGGGUGCAAGCGUUAAUCGGAAUUACUGGGCGUAAAGCGCACGUAGGCGGUUUGUUAAGUCAGAUGUGAAAUCCCCGGGCUCAACCUGGGAACUGCAUCUGAUACUGGCAAGCUUGAGUCUCGUAGAGGGGGGUAGAAUUCCAGGUGUAGCGGUGAAAUGCGUAGAGAUCUGGAGGAAUACCGGUGGCGAAGGCGGCCCCCUGGACGAAGACUGACGCUCAGGUGCGAAAGCGUGGGGAGCAAACAGGAUUAGAUACCCUGGUAGUCCACGCCGUAAACGAUGUCGACUUGGAGGUUGUGCCCUUGAGGCGUGGCUUCCGGAGCUAACGCGUUAAGUCGACCGCCUGGGGAGUACGGCCGCAAGGUUAAAACUCAAAUGAAUUGACGGGGGCCCGCACAAGCGGUGGAGCAUGUGGUUUAAUUCGAUGCAACGCGAAGAACCUUACCUGGUCUUGACAUCCACGGAAGUUUUCAGAGAUGAGAAUGUGCCUUCGGGAACCGUGAGACAGGUGCUGCAUGGCUGUCGUCAGCUCGUGUUGUGAAAUGUUGGGUUAAGUCCCGCAACGAGCGCAACCCUUAUCCUUUGUUGCCAGCGGUCCGGCCGGGAACUCAAAGGAGACUGCCAGUGAUAAACUGGAGGAAGGUGGGGAUGACGUCAAGUCAUCAUGCCCCUUACGACCAGGGCUACACACGUGCUACAAUGGCGCAUACAAAGAGAAGCGACCUCGCGAGAGCAAGCGGACCUCAUAAAGUGCGUCGUAGUCCGGAUUGGAGUCUGCAACUCGACUCCAUGAAGUCGGAAUCGCUAGUAAUCGUGGAUCAGAAUGCCACGGUGAAUACGUUCCCGGGCCUUGUACACACCGCCCGUCACACCAUGGGAGUGGGUUGCAAAAGAAGUAGGUAGCUUAACCUUCGGGAGGGCGCUUACCACUUUGUGAUUCAUGACUGGGGUGAAGUCGGAACAAGGUAACCGUAGGGGAACCUGCGGUUG
rnacentral:rRNA from 1 species